GCAAGUCGAACGGUAGAUAUCCUCGGGAUAUUGAGAGUGGCGAACGGGUGAGUAACACGUAGAUGAUCUACCCUCGAAAUGGGGGACAACCCAGGGAAACUUGGGCUAAUACCGCAUGAGUGCAGCGCAUAAAGCUAUCGUUUAGGUGGGUGUUUUAUGCGUUGCAUAAAAGGUGGCCUUCGGGCUGUCGUUUGAGGAUGAGUCUGCGUCCUAUUAGUUAGUUGGUGAGGUAAUGGCUCACCAAGGCGAUGAUAGGUAGGCGGCCUUAACGGGUGGCCGCCCACACUGGGAUUGAGAUACGGCCCAGACUCCUACGGGAGGCAGCAGUCGAGAAUAGUCUACAAUGGACGAAAGUCUGAUAGUGCGACGCCGCGUGAACGAAGAAUCCCUUCGGGGUGUAAAGUUCUUUUAUUAAUGUGAGCAAUGCUUUUUAUGUGAAUAGCAUGAGAAGAGAGAUAUUAGCAUAUGAAUAAGCAACGGCUAACUCCGUGCCAGCAGCUGC
rnacentral:rRNA from 1 species